UACGGGGGGGGCAAGCGUUGUUCGGAAUUACUGGGCGUAAAGGGCUCGUAGGCGGCCAACUAAGUCAGACGUGAAAUCCCUCGGCUUAACCGGGGAACUGCAUCUGAUACUGGAUGGCUUGAGAUUGGGAGAGGGAUGCGGAAUUCCAGGUGUAGCGGUGAAAUGCGUAGAUAUCUGGAGGAAUACCGGUGGCGAAGGCGGCAUCCUGGACCAUAACUGACGCUGAGGCGCGAAAGCAUGGGGAGCGAACAGG
rnacentral:rRNA from 1 species